rnacentral:rRNA from 1 species
UACGUAGGGUGCAAGCGUUGUCCGGAAUUAUUGGGCGUAAAGAGCUCGUAGGCGGUCUGUCGCGUCGGCUGUGAAAACCCGAGGCUCAACCUCGGGCCUGCAGUCGAUACGGGCAAACUAGAGUACUGCAGGGGAGACUGGAAUUCCUGGUGUAGCGGUGAAAUGCGCAGAGUAUCAGGAGGAACACCGGUGGCGAAGGCGGGUCUCUGGGCAGUAACUGACGCUGAGGAGCGAAAGCGUGGGGAGCGAACAGG